CACGAACGCUGGCGGCAGGCCUAACACAUGCAAGUCGAGCGGAUCCUUCGGGAUUAGCGGCGGACGGGUGAGUAACGCGUGGGAAUAUGCCCUUCUCUACGGAAUAGCCUCGGGAAACUGGGAGUAAUACCGUAUACGCCCUACGGGGGAAAGAUUUAUCGGAGAAGGAUUAGCCCGCGUUGGAUUAGGUAGUUGGUGGGGUAAUGGCCUACCAAGCCUACGAUCCAUAGCUGGUUUGAGAGGAUGAUCAGCCACACUGGGACUGAGACACGGCCCAGACUCCUACGGGAGGCAGCAGUGGGGAAUCUUAGACAAUGGGGGAAACCCUGAUCUAGCCAUGCCGCGUGAGUGAUGAAGGCCUUAGAGUUGUAAAGCUCUUUCAGCUGGGAAGAUAAUGACGGUACCAGCAGAAGAAGCCCCGGCUAACUCCGUGCCAGCCGCCGCGGUAAAAC
rnacentral:rRNA from 1 species